rnacentral:rRNA from 1 species
UGGGCCUACGGGACGCAGCAGUGAGGGAUAUUGGGCAAUGGGGGAAACCCUGACCCAGCGACGCCGCGUGAGGGAAGACGGUCUUCGGAUUGUAAACCUCUGUCCUUGGGGACGAAAAAGGACGGUACCCAAGGAGGAAGCUCCGGCUAACUACGCGCCAGCAGCCGCGGUAAUACGUAGGGAGCGAGCGUUGUCCGGAAUUACUGGGUGUAAAGGGAGCGUAGGCGGGAUUGCAAGUUGGAUGUGAAAACUGCGGGCUCAACCCGGAGCGUGCAUUCAAAACUGGGAUUCUUGAGUGAAGGAGG